GAGGACCUAACCAUGGUUUGUUCUUAAGCCCUUAAGCCCAACUCGCGUCUCUCUCUUUGCUGUUUGCAUUACCAAAAAGAAUUCAAUCGACUUUUUUAUCUCUCCAUCCGUAAAAUCCAGAAAGAAGAAAGUGAGAUAGGGGGUAGAAAAAAGUCGUUCUGCGCCCACGAUAUAAAUCCCUAUGCCGGUUCCACAUUGUGUGCUUCGCUUGCAUGUUGUUUGUAUUCUUGGUAUCAAAUUGCGGUACUCGCUUCUGGGUCGUGUUGGCGAGGCAUGGCGGUCAAGAAACUGUGUGAGUCUUUCUCCAAGGGCUUUGUCGAGGAGGUGCAACGAUGGGGGUGUAUGAAGCAGACUGGGGUGAGCUUGAGGUACAUGAUGGAAUUUGGGUCCGAUCCCAGCCACAGAAAUUUGCUAAUUUCCGCUCAGUUCCUUCACAAGGAGCUCCCCAUUAGAAUUGCCAGGAGGGCCAUCGAGCUCGAAAGCCUGCCUUAUGGCUUAUCUGAAAAACCUGCCGUUUUGAAGGUUCGAGAUUGGUAUUUUGAUUCUUAUCGCGACCUCAGAUCCUUUCCCGAGAUCAAGGACACAAAUGAUGAGAAGGAAUUUACUCAAAUGAUUAAGGCAAUCAAGGUGAGACACAACAAUGUGGUCCCUAUGAUGGCUUUGGGGGUUCAACAGUUGAAGAAAGGCAUGGAUCCGAAGAUCGUCCAUGAGGAUCUUGAUGAGAUUGAUCAGUUUCUAGAUCGCUUUUACCUGUCAAGAAUAGGGAUUCGCAUGCUUAUUGGGCAACAUGUGGAGUUGCACAAUCCUAAUCCCCCUCCUCAUUGUGUGGGUUAUAUACAUACAAAAAUGUCUCCAUUGGAGGUUGCACGAACUGCCAGUGAAGAUGCCCGUGCUAUUUGUUUGCGCGAGUAUGGCAGUGCCCCCAAUGUUAAUAUAUAUGGGGAUCCCAUUUUUACAUUUCCGUAUGUUCCAACACACUUGCAUCUUAUGGUGUUUGAGUUGGUCAAGAACUCCUUGCGUGCUGUCCAAGAGCGUUUCAUGGACUCGGACGAAGUUGCACCUCCUAUUAGAAUAAUAGUGGCUGGUGGUGUAGAAGAUGUUGCUAUCAAGAAGAAAUGGUCAAUAAAUUGUUCUGGCUGGCAUAAUAGGUAUCAGAUGAAGGGGGUGGCAUACCAAGAAGUGGGCUCUCCAAAAUUUUCACAUAUCUUUACAGCACUGCAAAAAACCCAAUGGAUGAGGACUCAUAUCAUGGUACUGCUGAUGCAGUGACAAUGGCUGGAUAUGGAUAUGGACUUCCAAUAAGUCGCCUGUAUGCUCGGUAUUUUGGAGGAGAUCUCCAAAUUAUCUCAAUGGAAGGAUAUGGGACUGAUGCAUAUCUCCAUCUCUCUCGCUUGGGAGAUUCACAAGAGCCAUUGCCAUGAACUUAAGCUUCAGUUCAAAAAAGUCAACAACACACUGCAGUUAUCAUGAUAACUCAUGGAAAUAUAAAAUAAUACAACGAGGGCAAAUGUUUGGAUGUAAAAGAGACGGAUUACUGUAAAUUUUCAAGCCUAAUAAAUUGGCAGUUGCGUAUUA